AUUGAACGCUGGCGGCAGGCCUAACACAUGCAAGUCGAACGAGUGGCGGACGGGUGAGUAAUGUCUGGGCAACUGCCUGAUGGGGGGGGAUAACUACUGGAAACGGUCGCUAAUACCGCAUACCAUCAGAUGUGCCCAGAUGGGAUUAGCUAGUAGGUGGGGUAACGGCUCACCAAGGCGACGAUCCCUAGCUGGUCUGAGAGGAUGACCAGCCACACUGGAACUGAGACACGGCCCAGACUCCUACGGGAGGCAGCAGUGGGGAAUAGUGCACAAUGGGCGCAAGCCUGAUGCAGCCAUGCGGCGUGUAUGAAGAAGGCCUUCGGGGUGUAAAGUACUUUCAGUGGGGAGGCGUUACCCGCAGAAGAAGCACCGGCUAACUCCGUGCCAGCAGCCGCGGUAAUAC
rnacentral:rRNA from 1 species